rnacentral:lncRNA from 1 species
GCAGCGGUGUCUUUCUGGCGGCCGGGUCUUCAACUCCGACGAGAGGGUCUGGUAGUUAAGGUUAGGGUUUGGUGUGGAUGAAGGUUAGUUAUAUCCAUUUGCUUUGAUCUGGACCGUCUAUCACGUUUGAUCUGAACAGUCCGAUCGCGAUUAAAUAGGGAGUGAAUUUGGACUAUUCAUCGUAAUCUAAUUUGGGUCGUCCAUCGCGAUCCACUCUGGAUCGUCUGAUCGUGCUUGGAGAGGGAACACAUCUGAGCCAUUCGUGCGCGCAGGAACGGACCUGGAUCAUUCGAUCGCGGGCACACGGAUCGUCUGCAUGGCCUUCCGCGUGGCACUGCGUCAGUGUCCGC